CACACACACACCAGCAUGCACAUACACUACACACAGACACACAGACACAUGCACACACAUGCACGCACACACAGAGACAUACACACACACACACACACUGUGUGGAACCAUGAUGCUUUGUUACUUGUAACCUCAAGGUUCCUGACCAAUCGAUACUCCCUGCUGCCCCGUGAAUGCCUGUCACUCUUCACCAGGGAUCCUUCAGCCCCCAAGACUUCCCCAGCCCCACAGAACCCCUCACAGACUGAUCACAGCUCACAGCUUCUGACUUGCAUAACAAAAUACAAAGCAUGGCACCCAGGAAACAAAACUCCUAACUAAGUGAAGAGGAGGGUAAGACAGUGAAUGGCUGAUUUCUCAGACAGCAGACGGCUGUAUGUCUUCAUUCCACACACUGCUACCCGCGCUUGGAGUAUAGCAGGUGCUCACCGAAUACUUCAGGGGGCGUGCUAAUUUAUUUUCUCAUGGAGACAACAUCAGCUUAAGGAAGGAAGGAAGGCUUAACUUUCAUUCAUAGUUUGAGGGUGCAGUUCAGCAUGGGGGCAGCAUGGUGGCAGAGUGUGUGGUGACUGUCACAUUGCAUCCACAGUCAGGAGGCAGAGUGUGUGGUGGCUGUCACAUUGUCUCUACAGUCAGGAGGCAGAGUGUGUGGUGGCUGUCACAUUGCAUCCACAGUCAGGAGGCAGAGUGUGUGGUGGCUGUCACAUUGUCUCUACAGUCAGGAGGCAGAGUGUGUGGUGGCUGUCACAUUGUCUCUACAGUCAGGAGGCAGAGUGUGUGGUGGCUGUCACAUUGCAUCCACAGUCAGGAGGCAGAGUGUGUGGUGGCUGUCACAUUGCAUCCACAGUCAGGAGGCAGAGUGUGUGGUGGCUGUCACAUUGUCUCUACAGUCAGGAGGCAGAGUGUGUGGUGGCUGUCACAUUGCAUCCACAGUCAGGAGGCAGAGUGUGUGGUGGCUGUCACAUUGUCUCUACAGUCAGGAGGCAGAGUGUGUGGUGGCUGUCACAUUGUCUCUACAGUCAGGAGGCAGAGUGUGUGGUGGCUGUCACAUUGCAUCCACAGUCAGGAGGCAGAGUGUGUGGUGGCUGUCACAUUGCCUCCACAGUCAGGAGGCAGAGUGUGUGGUGGCUGUCACAUUGUCUCCACAGUCAGGAGGCAGAGUGUGUGGUGGCUGUCACAUUGUCUCUACAGUCAGGAGGCAGAGUGUGUGGUGGCUGUCACAUUGUCUCUACAGUCAGGAGGCAGAGUGUGUGGUGGCUGUCACAUUGUCUCUACAGUCAGGAGGCAGAGUGUGUGGUGGCUGUCACAUUGUCUCUACAGUCAGGAGGCAGAGUGUGCGGUGGCUGUCACAUUGUCUCUACAGUCAGGAGGCAGAGUGUGUGGUGGCUGUCACAUUGUCUCUACAGUCAGGAGGCAGAGUGUGUGGUGGCUGUCACAUUGUCUCUACAGUCAGGAGGCAGAGUGUGUGGUGGCUGUCACAUUGUCUCUACAGUCAGGAGGCAGAGUGUGUGGUGGCUGUCACAUUGUCUCUACAGUCAGGAGGCAGAGUGUGUGGUGGCUGUCACAUUGUCUCCACAGUCAGGAGGCAGAGUGUGUGGUGGCUGUCACAUUGUCUCUACAGUCAGGAGGCAGAGUGUGCGGUGGCUGUCACAUUGCAUCCACAGUCAGGAGGCAGAGCAAGGUGGACACUGGUGCUCAGAUCAGUCCUUUUUAUUCAUUCCUCCCCUGGCC
rnacentral:lncRNA from 1 species